rnacentral:misc_RNA from 1 species
AAUACGCCACGGAAAUGCUUUGGCAUUCGGAUGGUAUGGCGAGCCUCGCCGUCCACGUUUCUCUUUCUUCAAGAAGACAAAGAACCGCGUCGAUCCGGAUGGCUGAUUGCUGUCUGGACCGGUUUGACGAGAAUGGGCCCGUAGCUCAGUUGGUUAGAGCACACGCUUGAUAAGCGUGGG